UGGGGAAUAUUGCACAAUGGGCGCAAGGCUGAUGCAGCCAUGCCGGGUGUGUGAAGAAGGCCUUCGGGUUGUAAAGCACCUUCAGCGGGGAGGAAGGCGUUAAGGUUAAUAACCUUGGCGAUUGACGUUACCCGCAGAAGAAGCACCGGCUAACUCCGUGCCAGCCGCCGCGGUAAUAAGGAGGGUGCAAGCGUUAAUCGGAAUUACUGGGCGUAAAGCGGACGCAGGCGGUCUGUCAGGUCGGAUGUGAAAUCCCCGGGCUCAACCUGGGAACUGCUUUAGAAACUGGCAGGCUGGAGUCUUGUAGGGGGGGGUAGAAUUCCAGGUGUAGCGGUGAAAUGCGUAGUGUACUGGGGGAAUACCGGUGGCGAAGGCGGCCCCCUGGACGAAGACUGCCGCUCAGGUGCGAAAGCGUGGGGAGCAAAAAGG
rnacentral:rRNA from 1 species